AUGGACCUGUUAGAGGUCUUUCUCCAAAGGCGCAUCCAACCGCUCCAGGCGCGAGACCAUACGAUGUGGCUGUAUUCUGGCCUUGACGACACCACUCGGAUCCACCCGGAGGAGGUCACCGAUGAGAUGCUGGAGGGGUGGCUGUCAAGCAUCACGGGGAACAAAGACAACCCUCGAGGAGCCAGAAGGGUGAUUCCACUCGACAACUCAUAUGAAGUGGAUCAGGUAUGUCUUUGUGUCGGAUAUCUGGCCUUCUGUAUUAGUCUUCUUUGUGUAAGUCGACUGACUUUCGUCCUGUCCGUUGUCCUCCAGGCUACCACUGAGAUGUACUCGACGCCCAACGGGGCACAAGGGCCGACCGAGGAAGGUGAGGGGAGCAGAGGCGAGAGCGGGGACGACCAGGUCGAGUGGGAGUCCGACGGUGAGGGAGAGGAGGGCGACGGCAUCUUCUCCAGUGAGGAGGAGGAGGAGGCUGAACCCUCCCGCCCGGAGGGACGGUCCAAGCUCGCCCACGAUCUAGCGCAGGAACGUGGCAAGGCGGCCGCUCCUGUUGGGCAGUCGUCGAAACGCCCUCGGACUUCUUCUCCUCCGCUGACCGGGAAGGCUCCCAAGCACCCGCGAACGGCGCCAUCUAAGCCGCCCAAGGCCUUGCCCAAAAUGAAGAUAGCUGUUCCCACCAUUUCGGGGUAA
rnacentral:rRNA from 1 species